UACGAGGGGGGCGAGCGUUGUUCGGAAUUACUGGGCGUAAAGGGCUCGUAGGUGGCCAACUAAGUCAGACGUGAAAUCCCUCAGCUUAACUGGGGAACUGCGUCUGAUACUGGAUGGCUUGAGUUUGGGAGAGGGAUGCGGAAUUCCAGGUGUAGCGGUGAAAUGCGUAGAUAUCAGGAGGAACACCUGUGGCGAAAGCGGCUCACUGGACCAUAACUGACGCUGAUGCACGAAAGCUAGGGGAGCAAACAGG
rnacentral:rRNA from 1 species